rnacentral:rRNA from 1 species
CGCGUAGGCGGAAAAUUAAGUCAGUGGUGAAAUCCUGCAGCUUAACUGUAGAACUGUCAUUGAUACUGAUUUUCUUGAAUAUAGUUGAGGUAGGCGGAAUGUGUAAUGUAGCGGUGAAAUGCUUAGAUAUUACACAGAACACCGAUUGCGAAGGCAGCUUACUAAGCUAUUAUUGACGCUGAGGCACGAAAGCGUGGGGAGCGAACAGGAUUAGAUACCCUGGUAGUCC